rnacentral:lncRNA from 10 species
GCGGCCGCUUCCCCGCCCGCCGAGAGCGGUAGUGCGGGUCGCUGGCUGCUGCAAACAACAGAAUGUUAAACCGGAAACUGUUUCCCUAACAUCUCAAUCUUGAAGGAGCUCAGCAGUCUUGGAGAGAGCAUAUCUUGACUUUGGGAAUUUGCAGGGGUCCCCACCCCCAGGCCAUGGACCACUGCUGGUCUGUGACGUGUUAGGACGUGGGCUGCACAAGCAGGAAGUGAGCUGUGGACCAGCCAGCAAAGCUGAACUCCAUGAUCAGCGGAGGCAUUAGAAUCUCAUAGGAGCAUGGACCCUAUUGUGAACUGUGCAUGCAAGGGAUCUCGGUUGCACGCUUCCUGUGAGAAUCUAACUAGUGCCUGAUGAUCUGAGAUGGAACAGUUUCAUCCCAAAACCAUCCCCAGCCACUGUGCCGUCUGUGGAAAAACUGUCUUCCACAAAACCGGUUCCUGGUGCCAAAAAAAGGUUGGUGACUGCUGGUUUAUAGAAUUCACCAGUAAAGCCUUCUAGGCUUGAGCUUUUCAUUGUGGGAAUUCAAUUUCUUUACUUGUUAUAGGUUGAUUCAGAUCUUCUAUUCUUUCUUGAGUCAGUUUCAGUAAUUUGCAUCUUUUUAGGAAUUUGUUCAUUUUAACUAAGCCAUCUAAUAAGUUCUGUAGAGUCUAGAGUUAGUAAUGCUGUUUCCUUUUUAUUCCUGAUUUUGGUAGGGUUUUUUGUUUGUUUGUUUUUUAAGACAGAGUCUCACUCUGUUGCUCACGCUGGAGUGCAGUGGCACGAUCUCGACUCACUGCAACCUCUGCCUCCCAGUUUCAAGUGAUUCUUCUGCCUCAGCCUCCCUAGUAGCUGGGAUUACAGGCAUGAGCCACCAUGAGCAGCCAUCUGAUUUUGGUAGUUUUUAUUCUCUCUUUUCUAUUGCCCACAGUUGCUAAAAGUGCAUCAGUUUUGUUUAUAUUUUCAAAGAACAGAUUGUUGGUUUCAUUGCUUUUCUCUACUGCCUUUUUGUUUUCUAUUUCAUUAAUUUUAGUACUCAUCUUUAAUAUUUCCAUUCUUAGGUUUAAGUGGCUCUUAUUUUUCUGAUUUCUUAAGAGGGAAGAUUAACUUAUUGAAUUGAAACCAUUCUUUUUAACAUGGGCAUUUAAAGCUAUACAUUGCCUUCUAAACAUUGCUCUGCUGUAUCCUAUACAUUUUGCUAUGCUUUAUUUUUAUUUUCAUUUAAUUUAAAAUAUUUUCUAAUUUUCUUUGUGCUUUAUUUCUUGACUCAUAGGUUAUUUAGCCAUUUACUGUUUAAUUUGCAAAUAUUUUUGUAUGUCUCAACCUUCUUUCUG